rnacentral:rRNA from 1 species
AUGCCUGCCCGGUGCUGGAAGGUUAAUUGAUGGGGUUAGCGUAAGCGAAGCUCUUGAUCGAAGCCCCAGUAAACGGCGGCCGUAACUAUAACGGUCCUAAGGUAGCGAAAUUCCUUGUCGGGUAAGUUCCGACCUGCACGAAUGGCAUAAUGAUGGCGGCGCUGUCUCCAGCAGAGGCUCAGUGAAAUCGAAAUCGCUGUGAAGAUGCAGUGUACCCGCGGCUAGACGGAAAGACCCCGUGAACCUUUACUGCAGCUUGACACUGAACUUUGACCUUACUUGUGUAGGAUAGGUGGGAGGCUUUGAAGUAGGGACGCCAGUUCCUAUGGAGCCAUCCUUGAAAUACCACCCUGGUAAUGUUGAGGUUCUAACUCUGACCCAUAAUCUGGGUCGAGGACCGUGUCUGGUGGGUAGUUUGACUGGGGCGGUCUCCUCCUAAAGAGUAACGGAGGAGUACGAAGGUGCGCUCAGCGUGGUCGGAAAUCACGCGUAGAGUAUAAAGGCAAAAGCGCGCUUAACUGCGAGACCCACAAGUCGAGCAGGUACGAAAGUAGGUCUUAGUGAUCCGGUGGUUCUGUAUGGAAGGGCCAUCGCUCAACGGAUAAAAGGUACUCUGGGGAUAACAGGCUGAUACCGCCCAAGAGUUCAUAUCGACGGCGGUGUUUGGCACCUCGAUGUCGGCUCAUCUCAUCCUGGGGCUGAAGCAGGUCCCAAGGGUAUGGCUGUUCGCCAUUUAAAGAGGUACGCGAGCUGGGUUUAGAACGUCGUGAGACAGUUCGGUCCCUAUCUACCGUGGGCGCUGGAAAUUUGAGAGGAUCUGCUCCUAGUACGAGAGGACCAGAGUGGACGAACCUCUGGUGUACCGGUUGUGACGCCAGUCGCAUCGCCGGGUAGCUAUGUUCGGAAGGGAUAACCGCUGAAAGCAUCUAAGCGGGAAGCCUACCUCAAGAUAAGAUUUCCCCGUGACUUUAUGUCACCUAAAGAGCCGUUCAAGACCAGGACGUUGAUAGGUUGGAUGUGGAAGCAUAGUGAUAUGUGAAGCUGACCAAUACUAAUUGCUCGUGAGGCUUGACUAU